rnacentral:rRNA from 1 species
AUCCUACGGGAGGCAGCAGUGGGGAAUAUUGCACAAUGGGCGCAAGCCUGAUGCAGCCAUGCCGCGUGUAUGAAGAAGGCCUUCGGGUUGUAAAGUACUUUCAGCAGUGAGGAAGGUGGGUAUGUUAAUAGCAUAUUCAUUUGACGUUAGCUGCAGAAGAAGCACCGGCUAACUCCGUGCCAGCAGCCGCGGUAAUACGGAGGGUGCGAGCGUUAAUCGGAAUUACUGGGCGUAAAGCGCAUGCAGGUGGUUUGUUAAGUCAGAUGUGAAAGCCCGGGGCCCAACCUCGGAAUUGCAUUUGAAACUGGCAAACUAGAGUACUGUAGAGGGGGUAGAAUUUCAGGUGUAGCGGUGAAAUGCGUAGAGAUCUGAAGGAAUACCGGUGGCGAAGGCGGCCCCCUGGACAGAUACUGACACUCAGAUGCGAAAGCGUGGGGAGCAAACAGGAUUAGAUACCCUGGUAG